rnacentral:tRNA from 1 species
GCCUGUCUGGCUCAGUUGGUGGAGCAUGUGACUCUUAAUCUCAGAGUUGUGAGUUUGAGCCCUACAUUGGGCA